rnacentral:rRNA from 1 species
GACGAACGCUGGCGGCGUGCCUAAUACAUGCAAGUAGAACGCUGAAGGAGGAGCUUGCUUCUCUGGAUGAGUUGCGAACGGGUGAGUAACGCGUAGGUAACCUGCCUGGUAGCGGGGGAUAACUAUUGGAAACGAUAGCUAAUACCGCAUAAUAGUAGAUGUUGCAUGACAUUUGCUUAAAAGUUGCAAUUGCAUCACUACCAGAUGGACCUGCGUUGUAUUAGGGAGUUGGUGGGGUAACGGCUCACCAAGGCGACGGUACAUAGCCGACCUGAGAGGGUGAUCGGCCACAAUGGGACGGGGGACCGGCCCAGGACCCUACGGGGGGGAGCAGGAGGGGAUCUUCGGAAAUGGACGGAAGUCUGAACGCGCCACGCCGGGGGAGUGGAGAAAGGUCUCGGAUCGGAAAGCUCUGUUGUAAGAGAAGAAAGAGUGUGAGAGUGGAAAGUUCACAAUGUGACGGUAUCUGAACAGAAAGGGACGGCUAACUACGUG